rnacentral:rRNA from 1 species
AUAGCGUAUAUUAAAGUUGUUGCAGUUAAAAAGCUCGUAGUUGGAUUUCUGGGAGGGUGCCAAUGUCCGCUCGAUGCGUGUGCAGCGGCGCCCUUCCAUCCUUCGGUUAACGUUUCACGGUAUUAACUUACUGGUUGCGGGCUCCGAUAUUUUACCUUGAGAAAAUUAGAGUGUUUCAGGCAGGCUUGCGCCCGAAUACAUUAGCAUGGAAUAAUAGAAUAGGACUUCGGUCUCCUUUGUUGGUUUGAGGGACUGGAGUAAUGAUUAAUAGGGACAGUUGGGGGCAUUAGUAUUUAAUUGUCAGAGGUGAAAUUCUCGGAUUUGUUAAAGACUAACUUAUG